UUCUAAGGGCGUUGAAGCAUGAUCGCAAGGACAUGUGGAGCGCUUAGAAGUGAGAAUGCCGGUGUGAGUAGCGAAAGACGGGUGAGAAUCCCGUCCACCGAUUGACUAAGGUUUCCAGAGGAAGGCUCGUCCGCUCUGGGUUAGUCGGGUCCUAAGCUGAGGCCGACAGGCGUAGGCGAUGGAUAACAGGUUGAUAUUCCUGUACCACCAUUAUUCGUUUUAAGCGAUGGGGGGACGCAGUAGGAUAGGCGAAGCGUGCUGUUGGAGUGCACGUCCAAGCAGUGAGAUUGAGUGUUAGGCAAAUCCGGCACUCUUAAGAUUGAGCUGUGAUGGGGAGAGGAACUUGUUCCUCGAGUCGUUGAUUUCACACUGCCGAGAAAAGCCUCUAGCUAGAAUAACGGUGCCCGUACCGCAAACCGACACAGGUAGUCAAGAUGAGAAUUCUAAGGUGAGCGAGCGAACUCUCGUUAAGGAACUCGGCAAAAUGACCCCGUAACUUCGGGAGAAGGGGUGCUCUUUGAGGUUCACGCU
rnacentral:rRNA from 1 species